CAUAGCGACUAUCGUGGCAUAUCAAUAAGCGGAGGAAAAGAAACUAACAAGGAUUCCCCUAGUAACGGCGAGUGAAGCGGGAAGAGCUCAAAUUUGAAAUCUUCAAGGGUUUCCCUUGACGAAUUGUAGUUUAAAGAAGUGUUUUCUGUUAGAGAGGUGGUAAAAGUUCUUUGGAAUAGGACAUCAUAGAGGGUGAGAAUCCCGUAUUUGAUCACUUUCUACUAACGUUGUGAUACACUUUCAACGAGUCGGAUUGUUUGGGAAUGCAGUCCAAAAUGGGUGGUAAAUUUCAUCUAAAGCUAAAUAUUGGCGAGAGACCGAUAGCGAACAAGUACCGUAAGGGAAAGAUGAAAAGAACUUUGAAAAGAGAGUUAAACAGUACGUGAAAUUGUCAAAAGGGAAGCGUUUGACACCAGUGUUGUUUUUCCGAAAAUCAAUUACGAAUGUUUUGUUUUUGAGGAGUUAUGACUUCAUCGGCUUGCUCCUUUCUUUAUGAAACUUUCUUAAUGCACUUUUCGGUUAACAAGUCAACAUCAAUUUCUUUUGUUGUAAAAGAGUAUGAGGAAGGUGGCUUUCUUUUCGGAGAAAGUGUUUAUAGCCUUGUACUCUGCAAUCGGAGAGAUUGAGGUCUGCAGCGUAGAUCCUUCGGGGUUAGAUACAUUUGUGCUAAGUUAUAGCUUUUCAUAGACAACUUGUUGACUAUGAUUUAGUCUUGUAGCUUACUCGCUGACGCUAUUUUACCUACGCUUAGGAUGUUGAAGAUAUGCGCGACACG
rnacentral:rRNA from 1 species